GAUGAACGCUGGCGGCGUGCCUAAUACAUGCAAGUCGGGCGAACGGACGAGAAGCUUGCUUCUCUGAUGUUAGCGGCGGACGGGUGAGUAACACGUGGAUAACCUACCUAUAAGACUGGGAUAACUUCGGGAAACCGGAGCUAAUACCGGAUGAUAUUUUGAACCGCAUGGUUCAAAAGUGAAAGACGGUCUUGCUGUCACUUAUAGAUGGAUCCGCGCUGCAUUAGCUAGUUGGUAAGGUAACGGCUUACCAAGGCAACGAUGCAUAGCCGACCUGAGAGGGUGAUCGGCCACACUGGAACUGAGACACGGUCCAGACUCCCACGGGAGGCAGCAGUAGGGAAUCUUCCACAAUGGGCGAAAGCCUGACGGAGCAACGCCGCGUGAGUGAUGAAGGUCUUCGGAUCGUAAAACUCUGUUAUUAGGGAAGAACAUAUGUGUAAGUAACUGUGCACAUCUUGACGGUACCUAAUCAGAAAGCCACGGCUAACUACGUG
rnacentral:rRNA from 1 species